CAUUCGCGGAAAAGGCACCCUUUGGUGGUACUGGUAGAGGGAGGUCAAGAAGAAACCGAAACCGAAAGGCGAAGUAGGAGAAGAAGAAAGAAAAAAAAUAUAGAGAGGAAAUGGAAGAAGAAGAACAACAACCGUUAGAAGCCGGAAAGAAACUUUAUGUUUGUAUGUUUCCCGACUGUGGCGAAAAACUUCGGCGGCAGAAACGUAGACACCUAAUACAAGCACACAAUGUCCCCGAGUCCGAAGAAAGAUAUCUUUACCGUCAAACCGGUGCCGCAAUAGAUUUUAACAAAUAUAUACCAGAUGCACCAUCUGCCAUAAAGUUACUUUGACAGCGACUUUGAGACGACAUCUGAGGACAGUUCAUAAAUUACAAGGAGAGGAGUUGGAUGAAACACUAGGAAAUAUUACGCAAGAGUCCAUAUACUAUGAUGUACUCCCAAGAAAAGGUAUAUUCAACCAGAAACCAAAGGACCCCCAAAUGGCGAAAUAUGCAGUAAACGAACUGAAAGUUUAUUUCAAAGGUGUCACUCCAUUAAAUAUUCACCAGAUACUUAGAACCAACAACGAAAAAUCUCCGGCCCUCAAACACCGCCACCUAAUAGCCAUUAAACACUUCUGCAAUUGGACGCUGUUUAAUGGCUAUACAGUAGCUGGUGU